AUGCAAGUGGUACCUUCGUCUCCUU
rnacentral:siRNA from 1 species